CGUCUUAAAAUUUUUGUCUUAGAUUUGUCUAAAUAUGAGUGUAUCUAGUCAUAUUUUAGUAUUUAGAUACAUUUAUUUUUAGAUAAACCUAAGAUAAAUUUUUUGGGACGGAGGAAGUAUGUG
rnacentral:pre_miRNA from 1 species